ACGCUGAGCAGGCUGCGCCCGGCACCGGCUGCCGGGUCAGUUUGGCCUCGGCGUACCAUGGCGCACACUCAGUGACUCAGGUAUCUGUCUCGGAGGCCUCGGUGCGUGCGCUCCCAGCAUUUUCACGUGGUCCUUCACAAUGCAACCAGGAGGAUGAACUCCCACCAUGGAGGUAACACGUGACUUCAUUAGAUUGUAUGUGCACCCAAAUGAAACUGGGUUCCCAGGAAACAGUAACACUGAACUUCAAUGGGAGUUAAUAAUACAGAGGAAGAACAGAAACAAAGGGAACGACGAGCAACAGACUUGACUAUUCAGAGGCCAGAAAUCCUAAAUUUAUAGUCUGGGUUCCCUUCCCAUCAGAGGCAGGCCAGUGGCAUUAGUUGUGGUUUCAUCAGAUCAGACCUGCACUGUGCUAGUAAUUUACAGACUGCAGCCAAGGAGGAGCAGGGAGGGCAUGGAAAGAAAAAUAAACAAAACAGAGAGAGGAUUACAGCUAACAGCCUGGUACUAUAUUCAUCCUAAGCAAAUAUGAAUCUUCCCAUCAUCUCCAGAUCAAUAAUUUUCAUCAAACAAUUUAUUAAGAAUCUGAAGUGAACAGUUUAAUCAGAGAAAUGCCCCUGUGAUGAGGCUUUACCCAUUCCUGGAUGGAAAGAAAUACAUACCAGAUUAGAUUUUCCUUGUCCAAAUAUACUCCUGAGAUUCCUGGUGUCCAUGGCUGCUUCAGACACCCAGAAGCUAGCUACACAUCCUACCUCAAAAGGAAAAAACCAGGUCAGAUUGAAGAAAACUGCAUGCAUAAUACGCCCUCAAGCAGCACUGUGGCAUAACUUGCAGGAUAUAGCUACAUUUUAUAUACCCAAAAUCAUGCCUCAUGUUUAGUUGUAACAGCAAUAACCAUAAAACUAUAGCAUCUAUUCCUGAGUCACUUGUCUUGGAUAAUUAGUUUGCCAAGAACAUGAGUCACCAAGUUAGAAAUUAGUUAGAGUAUGACUCAUUUUUAAUUUCAUACUAAUAUUAUGCUUAAAAAUAAAAAGGACUCCUCUCUUCCCCCCAAAUCUUUAAAUGUUUUGAUUCUUUUUAUAAUGCCAAAAUGUGCUUUACAUAGAAUAUCUGGAUCAAAUGUUGAAAUAAUUAUCUCAUUUUUAUAAUGCCUUUCACCCAGAAGGAUCUCACAGUAAUUUUUAAAUGCAUGUGUGUUCUUCAGUGGUCCACACAGACAAUGUACUGGGGCAGUGAGACAGUACUUGGCAACACUGUACAAAGCACUUGACUGAAACUGAAGUCAGAUCCUAUAAUUUUUUUAAACAAGACAGGAAAAUUCAGAUGCACAAAACUGAAUUAGCAACAAUGAGAUUUCACCGUUUACCUCUCCAUUUUUGCAAGACAGGGUUUAUUCUGAUUACUGAUGGUCAGAUCAGCCAGUGCUUAGUAGCCCUCAACCUUUCAGUUUCUUCAGAUUUCAGUUUCACCUUAUUGAAUAUAGUUUCAGUAAGGAAGCCUGAUACAUUUCAAAACUCUGCUUAUCCUUGGCUGCAGCAUGUUGUGACAACAUCAAGCAGGGCAGCAUCAAAUUGAGAACAAGAUGUUAAACUACCUUUGGGAAAACUGUCUAACUCUGCAAGUCUGGAUAUGCUCAAAGGCUGCAAUCCAGGCAGGCACCUGCAUAUUCGAGUCCUUGCUGAAGAAUUGCCAAACAUGCAACUUUACAAACAUUUUAGCCUUGCCAAGACUGCCUAACACAAGAGAAGCAGCCCUGCCCUCCUGUCCCACCAGCAUUUCUGCCUGCUCUUCUGCUGCCCCACCAUCUGUUUGGCCACACAGAUGUACUGGCUGAUUUGGCUAAAAAUAAUGGCAUAAGAACAUGCCAAAAAAGAAGUUAACUGCUCAUUAAUCCACCCUUUGAGAAGAACUGAGACUUCUUGAGUUUUCAUAGCCCUUCAUCUGCUAGUCCACUUUGAGUGAAGAAGACUGUGUUUCUCUGCAAGGAGCACUGCAGUCCAGUUGCAUGGUACAAAUGCAGGCUGUUCUAUUCAGGAUUGUGGUUUUGUUCUGUGCAGGGCAGAUGUCUAGCAUGUAUUAUUCUCUGCCUUCUGUUUGUUUUUCCUCCAGGAUGGCCAACGGCCAGCUGGUAAUUCAGUCAAAUGUAAGUCCUGGCCAUUUGCUAUUGUCAAAGAAUCAUUAUUUCCAGUCCUUUCAAGGUAUGUCACUGGUUAAGAAAUUGGUUUUUCUCAAUGUUCAUUCCUUGCCCUUUUAUCAUGCUGUAGGAUAACCAUGUUCCCCAAAAUGAGAUAUUAACUUUGAUAUCUAAGCUAAGAGGCUAGUGAAGAAAGCAAGGCUCCUCCAAAGGGUAAUUUGGGUUACAAUUACAUAGCUUAGCUGUACCACGUAGGUCAAGAAUUUAACCUAGGCCUGAGUCCAUUCUGAGUGUCUCUCAGCACAGGCUGUACAGGAAGCCCAAGUUAAAAAAGGUCAGUGGUGUGACUUUCCCAGUCCAGUCACAUCUUCACGUGAGUAAGAGCAGAAGUCCUGAGUGCCCAGAGCCAGGGUGACAUUCCAAGGAAAGGGACAUAAUGUCAGGGAAUGGCACUAAUUCCUGAGAUCAAGACAGAUGGUUGACAUUUGGCAAGAAGAAAAGAAACUGUCUUGGGUGUCAGAGCCAGCAAGAUGAGUAAUACUACACUAUAACAUAGCCUGCUCCUUGGAUUUAGCCCAUGUUAUUUGAGCAGUAAACUUCUUGCUCUUGAUCCACUUCUUUUACAGGAACCUUUUAUUUCUGAGACACAGAAUUGUCCAGUCCUCUGGCUUCUACAGAGAGAACUUACAGAUGUUUGUAUGCAUUCCUUUACUGGAAUUCUUUCAGCUUCUUCACCCAAAAGUUAUAUAUCUGAUAUAUAUUUAGUGGUAUCUUGGCCAGUUUUCCUAUUUCAGAAUUGCAUUACUCUAGUUAAGUAUUGAAUUCAUGUUCCAAUUUAUUUAUCUUGUUAAGCUUUUAGUAAGAUGAUAGAGUAACAAUUGAGAAUGUACCUUUUAACAGAAUGUCUUUGGUAAAGUUUUCUGGGGCUGUUCUGAAGGUUUUGGGACCAUUAGACAGCUAUUUAGAGCCUGCAUCUUACAUAGCACUACAAAAAAAUCCCCUAGCAAUAUUCUUCAAAAAGUAAUACUAGGGAUUAAAGCUUGAAGAAUGCCAUGAAGAAUUUCCAUAAGCAGCUUGGAAUUGAAGUAAAAUUUCUGAAACCUCAAUUGAAAUAAAACUCAAACAUAUGUUUCAUUUUAGGGAAAGCCAACCCUGAGAUUUUACCUUAAAUUAUAGUUACCCUUGUUGGUAUUUAUACAGCUCAGCAGAUGAUUGAAAAAGAAUCAAUAACACAUGGGGAGAAAUAAAGUUUUAUUAAUAAGAUUUGGAAUGCAUCUCCAGCCCUUAACCUGGAGCUAGCACACUGUCUGCAAAUAAAAUAGUUAACAUCAUGUAUACAAAAAAGUGGCAACAUACCUGGGCUCAGACUUGGACCUGGAAGGUAAAAAUACAUUAUGCAAAUCAUUGCAGAACUGAGGCACAGCUUUAGAAGAAAUUAAUAAUAAUAAUAAUAAUAAUAAUAAUAAUAAUAAUAAUAAUA